ACGCGAGGAACCUUACCAGGUCUUGACAUCCCACUGACCGCUAUGGAGACAUAGCUUUCCCUUCGGGGACAGUGGUGACAGGUGGUGCAUGGUUGUCGUCAGCUCGUGUCGUGAGAUGUUGGGUUAAGUCCCGCAACGAGCGCAACCCUUGUUCUUAGUUGCCAUCAUUUAGUUGGGCACUCUAAGGAGACUGCCGGUGACAAACCGGAGGAAGGUGGGGAUGACGUCAAAUCAUCAUGCCCCUUAUGACCUGGGCUACACACGUGCUACAAUGGACGGUACAAACGGUUGCCAACCCGCGAGGGGGAGCUAAUCCGAUAAAACCGUUCUCAGUUCGGAUUGUAGGCUGCAACUCGCCUACAUGAAGCUGGAAUCGCUAGUAAUCGCGGAUCAGCAUGCCGCGGUGAAUACGUUCCCGGGCCUUGCACACACCGCCCGU
rnacentral:rRNA from 1 species